UAUAAUGAGAAAAUCACAAAAUACAGACCUGAAUCAUCUGAGUUGAGAAGACAUAGAAGAAUUGCCUUAUAUAUUAGUGAAAGGGAUGCUUAUACAGAUAAGACUACUCUUCCAUGGAAAGACUGAAGUUUAUGAUAGCAAGUACAAAAGAAGGCAGACUUUGAGCUUUGUUCAGAGGACAGGGUGAGAAUGUGAGGUUUAACUGUAGGGUUGGUUGCCAUAGCAACCAACAAUCCCAGCAAGUCCUAGAACUGUUAGUUGAUGGCAGCCUAAUUUUGAUUGAUAUCAUUUCCAGUAUUUUUAAAAUAUCUCUUGCCAUCCUGAAAAAUAUGUGCUCCUUGGAUUUAAAUAUUAUCAAGAAUGCUAAUCUUAUAUCUCUAUGAAAGCCCUUCAUAAAUCUCAGUCAUGGAAAGAAGGAUUCAAAGAGUUCUUGAAGUUUGGGCCAACCACCUCUAAAUGAAUCUGGAUUUAUAAAUAGAUGGAUAGAUAAGAUGAGAUAAGAUGAAGAGAAAGCAAAAGAGGACUACUAUGGUAUAGAUGUUGACAAUCUUCAACAGUAGAGGACUUAUUAACAUCACCAAAAGAGGAAAUAUUUGAAACAUGAUACUCUGGGCUGGAAAUCCUACAUGACAAUAACACAAAUUGUUGGUAAGCAU